CUACAUGCUGUUAACAAGAAGAAAAGACUCCAGUGGUCCAAGCAGCAGCAACACUGGACUACGACAGAUCGGGAAAAAACAGAUACACAUCCUUUUGGACCUGCAGAUCGUAGUUGCCAUUUCACUGUAGUCAGGGACACUGAUUUCUCUCAAGUUGCAUUGAGUUCUUUCUGCAGUUGUGAACUUUUACAACACUUUCUUUUGCUCGACGACACAAGAUAUUUGUCUUCUGCCCCUUGAUCCUCCUGGUCUUCCCCUGUUAACAUUACUGCCCAUCAGCUGGACCCUUCUGAGUGUGUGCUGAACAUGGAACCUGGAAGUCUUAAGCUUCUUUGCAAUUUCUUACUGGGAAUAAACUUGUCACAAUAUGUCUUCUUGGCCCUGCACAUCGGAGACUAACUCCUCCUUUGCCAUAUUUCUUGAAAAUGUUGUGCCUAUUUUACUUGCACUACAGGCUAAAGGUAUUAGGCUACCUGUGAUUUUAAGAAACUUAUGGUAGAUAAGAUCUCACUCAAUUUAAUUACCCCUCCAUCUCCCUCCCACUCCUCCACCUCCCAUUUUGCUAAAUGAUUGGAUUGACUUCCAAUAAUUUCCUUAAUUGUAAUUAAAGCAAAAGGAGGCUGUUUCAAGGAAAGUCAUGUCUAAUAUUAUUUUAAGUAAAACUCAUCUUGUUUUGUGGUUGGUAGAAAUUGAAAAAAAUAAUUUAUAUACUUUUAAUAUACUUUGCACAUAUAAACAGAAUUAUUCGCUACCGAACGUUUCCUACCUUAAAAAACAAACAAACAAAAAACAAAACAAAAAAAAACACAGGUGGCCUAAUGCUUUUGGCAUCGGUUGAACAUGCACAUGGUAUGCUCAACCAAAGGCAAUGCAUUGCAUUGAUAAAUCAUGGAAUAAUGUUGUACUCUUGAUCCACUAGGCUCAGUUGAACCGUGUGCUCUUCUGCUAUAUCCUUUAGGUAGUUUAAUGUUUUGUAAAUAGGAAUUAGCCAAUUCAUGUGUGGCGCGGUCCGCUAAGGACAGUAUUUGUCAAAUGAAAUAAAUCGAACAGUCUUGAAGUGUUAGUGGUGGUGAGUUUGCCACCCCCUACUGGGUGAGCUCUCUCUCUGGAGUGACAUGGGUGCGCGGCGCUUACCUUGAUGAGCUGAUUGCCUCAUUGCUUCCUCCUACCACUGGGCCUAUAUAAACUGUGCUCUGGAUAACAAACGGCAACUCUCUGUGAACAACAACAGACUCGGUUGUGGCUUCGUGCGCUACGCCGAGCCUGGAAAGGAGAAAUCCAGCGUUGGUGAGACUGCGCAAGUAGCCCGGAGAGGACAAGGCAAAGCAACGCUGAAAUCCUAUCUGGCGUCUGUUCAACAGGGAUCAAGAAAGGUAGUGAAAUGGAGCGUUUUUCUGAUUAAAGGUACGUCAGGCAGCGUAGAUCAACUGCCAUUCUCUGAUAUAGCAAGUCUGUCACCAUUACAAAUGCCUUUUCACACACAAAA